CGCGGGAUAGGGUAGUGGUUAGCCCAUCGGGCUCAUGACCCGGGAAUUGUUGGUUCGAAUCCAGCUCCCGCUA
rnacentral:tRNA from 1 species